UUUUAAAACAUUUCGUCGCCCAAGUUCACAUAUUUGCCAAGGCUUUCGUAGGAGCUGUAGGCCUUUCCAGGGGUAGUUUUAUGACCCUGGUGGUAGUUUGACCCUUCCUCUGUGCCAUGAACCUUAAAAAACACUCAUGAAAACCCGAUUGAUCCCCUCUUUGACCUUUAGAAAUAGUUGAUGUGAGAAGCGAUGGUGUCUUAAAAUACAGCCCUGAUAAGCCUCUUCUGCACGCACGUCGCUUCAUGUGACGAAGAUCAGAUAACGUGUAGGUAUUUUUCUUCUCCGCCCCAGUAUACGCAACGGAAAGUAGGAUUAGUGUAGCAAUUUCCUGUUGAUUAGUGCCCGGGGAACAAUCACGAUCACGGAAAACGACCGGAUACGCGGGCGGGUGUUACGUGUUAGGGAUUUCCUGCACCGCGUCAUUGAGUUGUAUAUAUGAAUUAUGUCCUGUGUGGUGCGUGGCAGAGGCGUAAACAGCACGGCGGGCACCACACACACACACACCUGAGGCUUCCUGGCAAAUAAGCAGCUCAGUUCUGAGAUGAGUGACUGUGGUGGCGGUGGGGACUGUGGCGGCGGCGGUGGCGGUGGUGGAGGGAGCUGUGAUUUCGGUAGCGGCGGCGGAGGUGGCGGAGGCGGCUGGAGCAUUUUCAGUAGUGGUGACGGACACACUAGCCACACCCACUACACGCACACGGACACUGGAGGAGGUGGAGGCCGGAGGAAGAAGCGUCAGAAGAAACAGAAGGGCGGCUCAACGCACUCCCGCGGGCACAAAGACCAAGACUGCUGUGUGUUGUGCUGAGUGCUGACGGAGGCGGCUGGGACUUAACCCUACAAGCACCGAGGGGGGGAAAUCUGGCCCCUCCUGAGCCACUUCUAUCAAAACGAUACUUUUUUGUUAUUAUCAAUUGUAAAAGAAAAAGUCCUACAUAAAAACGUCCCAGCUUAUAUAGUUAAUGGCGGCCGGAGGGGAUCUCAGAAGUCCAAUCAGAUCUUACUCCAAGGGUUGGAUGCUCAAAACUCUCCUUUAGCCCUUUGACUGCGGAUUUCCUACAAGAAGUCAUCACCAAGCUACAGAAAUGGAGCAAAAAGUGGCUACUACAAUUCAAUGAAGAAAAUGUAAAGCCAUGUAUCUUGAGAGGGGAAAUCCAGCACACCAAUACCACAUGGGAAACACUCCACUAUCCACCACAGAGGCAGAGAAAGACCUGGGAGUGUAUGUUACCAGGCUACCAGGGAAGGGAUAUCCAGCACACCAAUACCACAUGGGAAACACUCCACUAUCCACCACAGAGGCAGAGAAAGACCUGGGAGUGUAUGUUACCAGGCUACCAGUGAAAGCCAAAUCCGUGACAGUCGCAGCAGACGGGUUAGAGUAGAAGCAGAAGUGUGGAAUUGUAAUCUGUAAAAUUAUCUCUUGCCGUAGGAACUCGGGAAAUAUAAUCGGCUGAGUACGACAAUCUGGCAACAGAGAAUAUAGAAACAGGGACUAAGAGAAAACGAAGAAAGGCGGACUAAUUUAAAUCAGUCACUUCAACAUGCCCUCCCUCACACCCCACACCGCCGUUUGUAGACAUUGGAAUUACAGUCACGCAACAGCACAAUAAAAAGACAUAUUUUUUUCGUCAGCGGCUUGCCUGAACGCACUGUGAAAGAAGGCGAGAAUGCACAUCCAGAGUGCACACACGGCCCCAACUUUAGUCACCCCUGAACUGGCGGGUAUUUUUUUUUUGGCUCCAAGUGACGUCAUCCCGCUGCUCCGCCCCCAAACCACCAAUAAAAAACUAAUAAAAUGUAUGUUUGAUGUGUUGUAA